AUCGCUUCUCGGCCUUUUGGCUAAGAUCAAGUGUAGUAUGAAUGUUAGGAUUCAAUUUUCAAUACACAAAUUUGAUGGAACACAUUCAAACUACUUGGAGUACAGCUAGUCUUUUAGCAUCAUAUUUCUCUUUCUCUGUCUCUUGCUGUGAUGGGCCUUAUUUCAAAUUUCCCUUUUAUUUGAAGAUAAGAAGGAAUA